ACCUAGUGGACUUUUACAAUUUUAAAUGUGUGUCUAAAAUAUUUAGAAAGAGAAAUAAAAAUAAUUGCAGUUGCCAAAAAUUUUUGGUGUUUUGUUAAAAAUCCAUUACUAACAAAUCCGUACUCUGAACAACCCCAUAUGCCAUGUGCGCAUGUACAUAUUUGAAUUCAGAACAAAAUAAUUUAAUUACAUAAACCCAUCUUUUUUUUUUUUUUUUUUUAAUAUGGGAGAAUUGCCUUCGUUGCUAAAGCAGACGUAGUAAAUUAUGUGUGCGUGUGCUUCUAAAACAGGGUGUCAAUGUUUGAAACUGUGUAUCUACUUAUUUCUCUACAGCAAACAGAACUGCAAGUUGUCGUGUUUAUUCACUAAACCCUGAAUUGUAGUCAAUUGAUGUGCAAAUAACAAAAUGUAGGCCCAAAUUUUUUUAUUUCUCAUUAAACCACUGCACAUUUCUCUUAGUAGAAAAUACUGUAAAAUAUUUGUCUUGGGGGUAACUGUAGAUUAGAAUUCUUGUAUAGAGCAAAACAAAAUUGAUCCACAAUGGGUGUAAUUGGAAUAACCGCAAGAACCUUAGUGAUUGAAUUUAUGAGUUUAUUUACCCAAAGACUAAGGAUAUAUUCUUGUGGUCUUAAAAAAACGAAUUUUUGAUGAACACAUUUACUGAUGUUCACGGAAAAUAUUUAUGCCACAUUAAAUAAAAGUAGCAUAGGCAUAAAUUUUAUUGUUCUUACAGUUUAUGGAAAUAUGAAAGGUUUCCACUGUUUGUAUUAUAUUAGUAUUCUAUUGUAUGUCUUCCUUUCUCUCCCUUUUUAUCU